CUGCUGCCUCCCGUAGGAGUCUGGUCCGUGUCUCAGUACCAGUGUGGGGGACCUUCCUCUCAGAACCCCUACGCAUCGUCGUCUUGGUGGUCCGUUACACCGCCAACUAACUAAUGCGACGCAUGCCCAUCCGCCACCGGAAUCAACCUUUGGCACCAACAGGAUGUCCCGUCGAUGCAUUAUGCCGUAUUAGACGGAAUUUCUCCCGAUUAUCCGGCUGUGGCAGGCAGGUUGCAUACGUGUUACUCA
rnacentral:rRNA from 1 species